UGGGGAAUUUUGGACAAUGGGCGAAAGCCUGAUCCAGCAAUGCCGCGUGUGUGAAGAAGGCCUUCGGGUUGUAAAGCACUUUUGUCCGGAAAGAAAUCCUUGGCUCUAAUACAGUCGGGGGAUGACGGUACCGGAAGAAUAAGCACCGGCUAACUACGUGCCAGCAGCCGCGGUAAUACGUAGGGUGCAAGCGUUAAUCGGAAUUACUGGGCGUAAAGCGUGCGCAGGCGGUUUGCUAAGACCGAUGUGAAAUCCCCGGGCUCAACCUGGGAACUGCAUUGGUGACUGGCAGGCUAGAGUAUGGCAGAGGGGGGUAGAAUUCCACGUGUAGCAGUGAAAUGCGUAGAGAUGUGGAGGAAUACCGAUGGCGAAGGCAGCCCCCUGGGCCAAUACUGACGCUCAUGCACGAAAGCGUGGGGAGCAAAACAGGAUUAGAUACCCUGGUAGUCCACGCCCUAAACGAUGUCAACUAGUUGUUGGGGAUUCAUUCCUUAGUAACGUAGCUAACGCGUGAAGUUGACCGCCUGGGGAGUACGGUCGCAAGAUUAAAACUCAAAGGAAUUGACGGGGUCAUA
rnacentral:rRNA from 1 species